UGGGGAAUAUUGCACGAUGGAGGAAACUCUGAUGCAGCGACGCCGCGUGAGUGAAGAAGUAAUUCGUUAUGUAAAGCUCUAUCAGCAGGGAAGAUAGUGACGGUACCUGACUAAGAAGCUCCGGCUAAAUACGUGCCAGCAGCCGCGGUAAUACGUAUGGAGCAAGCGUUAUCCGGAUUUACUGGGUGUAAAGGGAGUGUAGGUGGCCAUGCAAGUCAGAAGUGAAAAUCCGGGGCUCAACCCCGGAACUGCUUUUGAAACUGUAAGGCUGGAGUGCAGGAGGGGUGAGUGGAAUUCCUAGUGUAGCGGUGAAAUGCGUAGAUAUUAGGAGGAACACCAGUGGCGAAGGCGGCUCACUGGACUGUAACUGACACUGAGGCUCGAAAGCGUGGGGAG
rnacentral:rRNA from 1 species